CUGUUGUCAAGCAAAAGGAGCUCUCUCCCUGAGGCACUGGAAGCCAAUAUUUUGACACCAGGUUUUUGAGAAAGAAAAGUUUUUUAUUAUUCUGCCUGCCAGACUGAAACACAAAAAUACUCACCUGAUUCCUUCCCACUGCCAGGACAGCCCAGUUUGUGUGACGGUCAUAACAGCACUGUGUGGGAAGGAGGCAGCCAGACCCUGAGAUAAAGGUUUGUGAGUCUGUGACCUCAUCUUCCCUCAGAAGUGCAAUUAUAAUUUUACCUGUAGCAGCAAUGACAGCUGACUUAGGGAGUUGAUAACUUUUUGAAAAACUUUUUGCAGUUGCUAAUUACCAGAGGCAAUUACAACUUUCUCAUAAAUGUCUCCAAAGAGACCACUGAAGUAUCCAAAAGAGGCUCUUACUUUUUCACAAUCCCUGAAGACUGCAAGGAGCAGAAAAUAUUGAGGUUUGAUCUGUGAGGCACUUGUAGAGAAGCAUGUUUGUCUCACUGGAUUUCCUAAUUCUAUGAGAUACUCUUCUUCCUAAAAUCAAGCUCAUCCUUAAUUUGCAGAUCCAUUAUGCCAAGGAAUGUGCAGAUGGAACAUCAUUUCUGAGGGCGUCUGUGAGGAUGAUUCCAGAUGAGAUAAGCAUUCAAAUCGAUGUUCUCAGCUGAGAGGAUUGCCCUCCCUAGUGUCCCUGGGCAUCAUCCAAUCAGUUGAAGGCUUGGAUAGAACAAAAGGUAGAGGAAAGAAGAAUUUACCUCUUUUUCCUCCUGCCUUCCUGCUUGAGCUGGGACAUUGAUCUUUUCCUCCUUUGGUCUAGGACUGGCACCACGGACUUCCUGGUUCUCAGGCCUUUGGGCUCAAACUGGAAUUACAACACUGGCUUUUGUUGGUCUCCACCUUGCAGAUGGCAGAUUGUGAGACUUCUCCAUAAUCUCAUGAGCCAAUUCCUCAUAAUAAUAUUUUUCAUAUAUCUAUGUACACACACACAACUACUGUUUCUGUUUCUCUGGAGAACCCUAUGUGUGCAAUUAUGCACACAUUUUUUGUCUCCUAUGCAUAUUCUUUAUUUUUCUUUAAGAGAUGGGGUCUUACUUUGU